GGGCCCGCACAAGCGGUGGAGCAUGUGGUUUAAUUCGAUGAUACGCGAGGAACCUUACCAGGGCUUAAAUGUAAGUUGCAUAAGUUAGAGAUAGCUUUUUCUUCGGACUACUUACAAGGUGCUGCAUGGUUGUCGUCAGCUCGUGCCGUGAGGUGUCAGGUUAAGUCCUAUAACGAGCGCAACCCCUGUUGUUAGUUGCCAGCGAGUCAAGUCGGGAACUCUAACAAGACUGCCGGUGCAAACCGCGAGGAAGGUGGGGAUGACGUCAAAUCAUCACGGCCCUUACGUCCUGGCUACACACGUGCUACAAUGGCCGGUACAGAGAGCAGCCACUACGCGAGUAGGAGCG
rnacentral:rRNA from 1 species